AGCGAAUUAGUUGUAGGGCGUCUUUCCUUUGGCAGGCAAUGGUGGUUUUGUUUCGAUGGAUUUCACGUUGUAAUUGGUUGUUGAUUAUGAUCUGCCAAAGGAGAGUUGCCCUGCAACUGCUUUUGCU
rnacentral:pre_miRNA from 1 species